CCUACGGGAGGCAGCAGUAGGGAAUCUUCCGCAAUGGACGAAAGUCUGACGGAGCAACGCCGCGUGAGCGAUGAAGGCCUUCGGGUCGUAAAGCUCUGUUGUCAGGGAAGAACAAGUAUCGGAGUAACUGCCGGUACCUUGACGGUACCUGACCAGAAAGCCACGGCUAACUACGUGCCAGCAGCCGCGGUAAUACGUAGGUGGCAAGCGUUGUCCGGAAUUAUUGGGCGUAAAGCGCGCGCAGGCGGUUCCUUAAGUCUGAUGUGAAAGCCCCCGGCUCAACCGGGGAGGGUCAUUGGAAACUGGGGAACUUGAGUGCAGAAGAGGAGAGCGGAAUUCCACGUGUAGCGGUGAAAUGCGUAGAGAUGUGGAGGAACACCAGUGGCGAAGGCGGCUCUCUGGUCUGUAACUGACGCUGAGGCGCGAAAGCGUGGGGAGCGAACAGGAUUAGAUACCCUGGUAGUCCACGCCGUAAACGAUGAGUGCUAAGUGUUAGAGGGUUUCCGCCCUUUAGUGCUGCAGCAAACGCAUUAAGCACUCCGCCUGGGGAGUACGGCCGCAAGGCUGAAACUCAAAGGAAUUGACGG
rnacentral:rRNA from 1 species